AUUCAGUCUGCAGAAGAGCAGAGUGAGGGGGGAUUUGAUAGCAGCCUUCAACUACCUGAAGGGAGGUACCAGAGAGGAUGGAGCUCGGCUGUUCUCAGUGGUGGCAGAUGACAGAACAAGGAGCAAUGGUCUCAAGUUGCAGUGGGGGAGGUUUAGGUUGGAUAUUAGGAAACACUAUUUCACUAGAAGGGUGGUGAAGCACUGGAAUGGGUUCCCUAGGGAGAUGGUGGAAUCUCCUUCCUUGGAGUUUUUUAAGGCCCAGCUUGACAAAGCCCUGGCUGGG